rnacentral:lncRNA from 1 species
AGAACAUCUUACUAUUAGAUGCUAAAGUUUGUCAUUUUUCAUACAUGUAGGAGUACUAUUUACAUAUUGGCAAAAAGUGAUUCAUUUUUUGCGUUGUGUCUCGUGUCCUCCUUAGCAAUCUUUGACCAAAAAGACCACCUGCAAAAUCGUGAAGUAAUGAUUAAAUGUUAAUCCAUAUAUUAGACUAAGCGCAAACUUGUCUUAGUGGUAUAGUUCUUGUCAAUUACAUAAUAAGAAAAACAUUAGAUGUCUUAAAUUGGACAAUUUAAAUUUUUUAUAAUGGAACUGCAGAUUUUAUUUGUCAAUUACACACCUUUUCAAAUAUUGUCUAUCUUUGUGCAUAUGGUUAAUUGUGCCUGAACUUUAAUCAACUAAGAUCAAAGAGUAAUAAUAAUAAUAACUCUGUCAAAGAAGCCAGAAAGAAAAUAGCCAUUGAAGUUGGCUGUAACAUAGCUUUCAAUCAUAAUCAAAGUAAUGACUGAAGAACAAAGAGCAGGACUUUGAAGUUUUCAAGGUAGAAGAAAGAAAGGGACCAAAUAGUUCUUCGUGUACACUUUUGGUUAUUUAAAAUAUUAAACAUGUUCGACCUUAACUUUAGUAGGUCUUUUCAUUUUACAGUCAUAUCUCUUUGGCUAACUUGUUCUCUGUGUUGUUUUUUAAUUUGGCUGCUUCGGAUUUUAAAGGUGCGAAGUACCAGUAUAAUGCUUCAAAAAUAAUACAAUUUGAAGAAUCAAAAGCACAUAGCAACUUAUAAAAUUAUUGUGGUAAACUUUAGAUAGCACUUAUGUGUUUACCUUAACAGAAUAAACCACGGAUACUGGCACAUAGAAGAACCAGAACUUGAGGUGUCUUUGAGGUUCAAAAAGAAUGUGCGAGUUAUUGAGAAUGCAUAUGCAACAUCUUAUGUGAAACAAAAUUAAGAGUAAAAGUAAAACUUAAUUUUAUCCAAGAAACUUUCAAGGCUCAAACCAGUCUCUUAAGCUGCCCAAUAAGUUGGUAAUCACCGAGGAAGGUAUCAUACCCAAUAAGACAGAUACAUUGGAUUUUGGGAAAAUCUCAAAAAAUUAUUGUAGAUUAUGCUUGUAACUGACAUACCUCUUUAAGACGCUAUUUGUGCUCUUGCCGUAUAAGGAAACACAUUCACAUGUUUUCACAUAUGUUCAAUUGACCAGCCAUUCUGUCAAGCAUACAUGAGCUUCAUAUGUGACAUGUAAUUCAAAUCCAGUCAUACUGCUAUCCACUAUCUAUCCUGUAAUGAUAAUCGAAUUCGAUAUGAAAUAAGUAAUACUGUCUUCCUUAAUAAUCAUAAUUAUAACCAAAUCAAAUGUUCAAAAUAAAAACACAGAAGAGGUAUUAAGCAUGAGAACAAUUCACUUAACAGAUUACACAACUAAAAAACACCCUGUCAAAAGCUUGGAUAGAAUUUUUCAUGAAUAAUUAUGAGGAACCCGAAAAUUGGUAAGAUCUCAGCAAGCACUGGUCCAAGCUUUGAGGCACAAGUUUGUAUAUUCAAACUAAAUGUUCAGGUGAUGUUAAAUCUAUUUCAUAUACCUAAUUUUCUUAUAUUCUCACCAUUCUCCUACACAGUCGGGCAAAUAAAUAAUGAAUAUUGUAGAAUACUUAUACUGCGUAGAUUUCUCAAGAACUCAAUGCAGAGCAAAUUCUGUAAGCUUUUAAUCAAGUGUCAAUGUGUUCUUUGAAGCCUAAACCAACUAUGGAGAUACAAUCAGUUUAAUAAUAUAAAUCCACCUAAAUUGCUCAGAAUGAGAACAAUAUUAUAACUUUGAAGAACAAAUCUCAUUCUUAAGCAAAUAUCUGCCUUUUGUUCUGAAUUCAAAUGAUAUGAUAGUAAACAUAAAGAACAGAUACUACACUCCACAAUUUGCUUCUUGUUGAAUAGUCUUGAGUUAACAUUUGAUUUCUUGUUGCAGGUUGUAUUUGCAACUUUGUCAGUGUCUAAUUAAGUGCAUGAUAUUCUUAAUUUUGAGACUUCUCACUUGAAAAUACUUAUCAAUCACCUAAUCCUAUUUGGCAACAUUAUCAUUAUUCAUUGCCGUAUGGAUAUUAGCAGCCAAUACACGCAUUCUCAGAAAUUACUGUUUUUCUUAAAUUUUCUGUUCGUUAAUACUUUAGUACUGAAGUCUUUAACGUGAUUGUUAGUUCAUGCAUAAAGUUGGCAUUAUUUUCUAUAUGGCCUUCUUAAUAUUUCCUAGGCAAAAUAGUUGACGUAGUCAUAUUGCUGUGCAGGGUAUACUUACAUCCCCUUCUUUUUCCCUUUCUUUUACCUGAGGCAGCUCCACACUGCAUAUAUUGAAAAUAGUUCAUGGCUUCUACUGUAUCAGGGCCUUGAACAUAACUUUCGAGGAAUUUUAUUCACAAAGCUUCUGAUAUUGUCCGAUUUGGUGCCAUUAACAUAUUUAUAGCUUAUACACACUAUUUAUCUACCUAAAUUCAGAUAAUUUAAGAUUACAAAAGGUAACUCCAAACUACAUCUCAGUAUUACCCAUGUAAACUUCCACCCAUUACUAUAAUUGAAAGAAUUAUAUCUCAAAAUAGCCAAUCAGCGGUCUGAAAACUCCAAACAUGCUUACACCUUGGACAAAUCACUCUGAGCGUUUACUUGGUUCGGAUAGUCAAGAAGACGAAGUAGGAAACUGGAGGAUAAUAAUACCAAUACUAUCAGAUAAACUACAAUUAAAAACUAAGAAUUAAUUACCACAUGAAAACCCAAAAAAACUAAAAUAACAAAACAUUUGAGCAAAAGAGUGAGAAUAAAAAAAAAUUCAGAGGAAUCUGAAAUUGUUACCUUUCUCAAAAUUGAAGCUUCAAUUUGUUUUUUCCAAAAUGGAGCUUACUCCGGAUGCUACCAGCAGGAGAAAUUCAUUCCCUGAAAAUCUAACUAAAUGGAGUGUAAGACUUGAUUUUCCUCCUACUGUGAUUAAGAGCUAUGGAGGGAAUGAAAGAAAAAACACACACAACUAUAAACAAAUUGAAGCCAACUACCCACAUCCAUAAAAGAACCCAGGAACAAUGAAAUCCAUGAUAGGAGGAAAAGAAGCCAGAGCGAAAGCAAUUAUCUUGUACAAAAUUGCGAAAGAAUCUAAGAAAAUACAAGUGGAUGUAGUAAGUAAAGGAGAGAGACGGAGAAGACUAUAGAGAAGGGGGGACGUAAGUAUACCCUGACAGGGAUUAAGGCCACGUUAUGACAGUGGCUAGCAGAUUGCUAGACACGUAAGUACCCCGAAAUGCUAAGAGAUUAAAUGGCCAAAAUACCCUCAGCUAUGAAUGUAAUGACUAAAAACAGACACGUCGAAACUCUUUAAGCAUGAUGUAGUAUAACAUAAAAGGCGUCACAAUGGUGGGCAUUCUGAACCUAGAUUUCUUCUCGAGACACAUUACAAAUGCCUCCAUUAUGAAGGCAUAGUUUAGUGGAGACAUCAACUGACAUAACUCGUAGGGUGCUUGCUUAUAGAUCAUGUCUAAGGUUUCUAAUUCUUCAGUAUAUAUCUUCCCUGUAACCAAAGAGGGAAACUAAGAUAAACGCCAGAAUCAUUUAACAUGCUUGAAAUGCAUCAAAAGACAUACCUCUGCCCAAGGUAAAACCAAUUGUUAGUUGACUUCGAGAAGUAGUGGGUCAUCUCCAUUGUGAGCAGGGAGAACUUUUGAUACUGUCAAGUAUAGUCAACAACAGUCAUACCAUCUUAGCUUUAUUGGCCGAUGAAGAUUACCACUAUAAUCAUAACACAGACACUUAACAGCCAAGAGAUUGUUAGAAAGAAAAAUGACCUCCUAUAAUAGGUAUAGUGUCACUGAAGAGAGAACUUGUGAAUGUAUCUAGAUCUUUAUUGGCAGUUUUUCUAGUUCUUGCUUCUCGCUUUAUUGGGUCUCUGGAUUGUAUUCAAAAUUUUAAAUCUUGAAUCAUUGAACCACAUGAUAUUAUCACGCUUGAGGCCUUGUUCUAUCAAUGGUUCAUCCCACAGUAUACACUUACACAUAUGAUAUAUUAAUCCAGCCACGAAAGAGAAAGAAAGAACUUAAAUAGGUGAGAAAACUCACCUUGAAGCCUUGUUCAUACACCUCAGGUAAUUGUAGGCAUCACAACUGAAAAUGCUAUAAUAUUAGACAUAUUUGUCGUCCUCGUACAGUCUCUAAGAUCUGGGAACCUAAACAUCCGUGAGAAAUAUAACUUAAGAGAUAAACUAUAGAGCAUUCAGAAAAAAAAUAAUAUUAAUCAAUUUCGAAAUAAGAAAGAAUCAAUGUAUCAUCUGUUGACAGAAUGCAAGUUUGCAAUUAAAACUACCAUAGAUGGGGAAAGUACUAUAAAGAAGAAAUAAAGAGAUGUGAACUUUAUGUCGUAGCCUUCUUAUGUUCAGCGUUGCGAGAUAAAAGAAUCUGCCGGCUUUAUCAAAUGGCAAAUCAUUGAUAACUAAGCUUGAACAAGCACCCAGAAAAUUAGUCGGAAUGUUUAUUGGUUCAAAAAAUUUUAAAACAGAUUUAAAGCAACCAAAAAUAUUAUCACCUAAAGAGUAUAUAAAGGCCAGCUACUAAUGCUCUCUGUGUGUCUAUGAAUAACAUAUUCCUAUUUCCUAAUAUCAAACCGACAAAAAUUGAGCACUUUUGGCUUUUUAAAACAUGCAAACAUGCUACUGAAAAAAUUAAUUUCUUUGAAUAACAUAUUAGUUGAAAUGUCAAAGUAGUAAAUACAAAUUUCAGUGAUUUCACAAAAUAAAAUAAAUCCAACCAAAAAAAGUUCGAAUUUGAUUGCUAUAUCAACCUUUAAACAAAAGGCAUAGAAGAGUCCUCAACUUUGUUCCUCUUCCACAUGUUUUAUCACUUUCUUCCAAUUUUUGGUCAGAUCUAGGCAUGGAUCAAUAGAGGUGAAAUUUUUCAGUAGGGUUUACCUAAAAAUGGCCGAGAAAACUCCAGCACUAUAAACUUCAAAUUAUUUAUCAAUAAUAUCAAGAAGCGAAACCCUAAGAUUAUUCACUAAUAAGCAAACAAACAGAAGAUCACCAUUUAUCGGAACUACAAUCGUUGGGAUCGUCAAAUCCAUGCACUGGUGAAUUCGUGCUAGCAAAAGAAAUCGAGGAAAGCAUUGAGGGAUUCUGGAUAAAGACGUUGAAAACAGAUGGAUUAGCUAAUUAAGUUCGAGCAUGGCGAUGAAGAAAGAGAGGAGUGGACCACGAAGAAGGGAGAUGAACCAGAGCAACGGUGGCCAAAUGAUACGUGGCUACUUAGGUUAUCUGAAAAGACAACAAUAUCCUUAACUUUUCCUUAAAGGACUUUAAGCACACAUGUCGAAACACUAGCUUUUCUAAUAUAUAUAAAAAAAAAAAUACUUGUGCCCGUUCCCAUUAUUUUCUGAAAUAGAUAGCACAUAGAAGGGCAAUUACAUAUUUCAUCAUGUUUAUGCUAUUGGCAUUUAAUGGAUACAGCAUUCAGUUUACUGGAAACAAUAUUAAGGAG